rnacentral:rRNA from 1 species
UACGGGGGGGGCAAGCGUUGUUCGGAAUUACUGGGCGUAAAGGGCUCGUAGGUGGCCAACUAAGUCAGACGUGAAAUCCCUCGGCUUAACCGGGGAACUGCGUCUGAUACUGGAUGGCUUGAGUUCGGGAGAGGGAUGCGGAAUUCCAGGUGUAGCGGUGAAAUGCGUAGAUAUCUGGAGGAACACCGGUGGCGAAGGCGGCAUCCUGGACCGACACUGACGCUGAGGAGCGAAAGCGAGGGGAGCAAACGGG